GCCCCCGCCCGUCGAUCAUGUGACUUAGCUUGCCAUCUUGGAAGAUCUGAAAUCAAGAUGGCGGAUGAGAUUUGGAGAACUUCAAAGAAAACUUUCCUACUGUUUAUACAACAACCAUUGGACUUGGCGUCAAACAAGAUUGGGAAAGUCACUUGCUGGAUAUUUUCCGUCGAGUUCAAUUCCCGAUGGUGACACCGAUGGAAGUGCACCUGUCUCUGCGGGCGGACCUGCGACCCGGAACCGACGACUUGGCGGGGAGCACCCGGUGAUUUCGCGUGAGGUGGUCAGAUUCGCCAAGUGCAGUGGAAAGUACGGCGCAACAGGUGUUUCUUGUUAGAAGACACCUUUUCGAGGCCGCCAUACCGACUUUUACCUAGUACAUACAUUUAUCAUGUGAAUUCUUUGUUUGAUAACUACGGAUUCUGUUCAUAUGCGAUAUACAGUACGUCAUUGAUAUUUGCUAUCCUUCAUAAAUUGUUCAUUACGUAUGCUUGUUGGAAUAAUUGCUUAAUCUUCUGUAUUUGUCGAUUCUGUUCAUGUGUACUCUAUCCUCUUAAGUAUGGAUAUAUACAUGUACACCACAUAGUGGUUAGACUGUAUAACCAGUGGUGUAAAUGAUACGUUAAACUCAACAUUUUGAUUUAUUCAUACGAUUGAACGUAGGUUUGUUUGCCAAAUAGCAAUUACUCAAGUAACUGGAUAUGAUUUUGAAAACAGUCAAACGUUUCAGAUAACAUCCAUUAUCUUUCGUCAGUGGCAUUGAAGAGAUCUUGUUAGAGAGCAGGUUUUCUAUCCUAGCUAUGAAUUGAUAUGCGCGGGAGAUGAGAACAAUUUUCUUGGUUAAAUCAUUUGUAUUCACUUGUGUUUUUUUCUCGUAUCGUACGGCUCGAGUUUACCUUACGCAUCUGGAAGUUGAUGAAAUUUUUCCGUGUCGUGUAAGAUUGUAGUCCAUGUCGUGUAAGAUUGUAGUAUAUAUCCUUCCUUUGUUGAUGCCUGUUCAGUCUAAAAGCGUUUUUAGCCUCUCUAGCACAAUAGAUUAAUACAAACUUGUACCGAUAUCAAAGAAAUCAUUGCGACUUUCAACUGUAUUUUAGACCAUUCCAAUAUAAGUGUUACUUAGUUGUUGCUAUCAUAAAAGUGGGUCCUAAUUUUGUAGAGUAUCGUAAAAUUUAUUGAUCAAAAACAUUUGUUGAAACGGAGCAAUUCAAACAAUAUCCUGCAAACCUUCUCUUGUAUCAGGUCCUUACAAAGUAAGCACCAUUAUUAUUUAUUCAAUCAUCGUAUUCAUUGUACAAUGAUAACAAUAGUCAACAAUUGCAUUUGCAAUCUAACAAUGUGAUCGACUAUUACAAUGGCAUUUUAUUCUAUUGCAUACAAAUGGUCAAUAGAGUAAGUUUGAUUCCGUGAAAUGAUAAGUGUACUAUGAUAUGCUUAACCUAUAUCUAUAAUUUCCAUGCUUCUUGAAACAUGUAAACGAGUUUACAGAAUAUAGUCUAUUACAUCGUAGCUGAAUGUGGACAUUACACAUAUAAACUAUUCCUCUAUUGUUAAAUGUAAAGACAGUAGAAUUGGUACUUAUACAUAUUCGUUAUUUGUUAGUACAAAUCCUAUGUAGCCCGAACACCACAACAUUUUAUCUUAUCCAGAAUCAAGUUUAGUGCGUAAGUUAUUCGUGAUUGUCCCACACAACGGCCUUUUCUAUGGAUUUGCAAAUUUAUUAAUUUGAUCUUUUAUAAUACACAAACAUCUCCAUAAACAGAUGAUGAGAUAUAUUUCCUAUUUGCAGAUAUUAUUAACUUUCAACACAACCUACAAAAGUGUCAAUGUACAUGUACUUACAUCUGUGUGUAUGUAUGUACAUGUAUGUAUGAAUUAUCUAUGCAUACACACUUUGAUAAAGAUCAAAAUGUUACAAAUUUACGCUAUUUGGUCUUCCAAAAUCUACUUGCAACUUCUGAUUAUGCUCAAUUUGAAAUGUACUCGGUGUCAUAUCGAUGUUUGGGUUAUGAUUGAUAUUGUAUAUAUAUACAAUCUGUUCAUAUGUGUAUAUUUGCUUCAAAUAACUUCACCACUGCACAGCAAACUUCAAGCUUUUACUUUUCAUGUUAAAUUAAUAACCAUGUAUGUGCUACUUUUUACAAUUUACAAGAACUAGACUGGGUGGUUUUCAUUCCUUUUUGUUGUUACGAGAUAUGCUAUAUGCAAUAAAAGCCGUAUUUACAAUACUGGUAGAUUAGGUCACUACUGAAGUAGGUCAUUUCAACAAAAUGAAGUGUUGUUAGUAUUGAAUGAUGAAGACGUAGUUCAGUCUGCAAAGAAGUGAAAUAUAGUUUUCAUCUUUUUUUCAUCUUUUUUUGGCAUUCAAUGUCAUUAUACGCACUAUAUGUUAAUCGGAAUGAGUGAAUAGACAAGCUUUUGAAUGCUAACUAAAUGUUCUUUCAUGUAUACAUUGACUUAUGUUUUUGCUCAAUGUUAUUGUUUUAUAUUUGUGUCUUUGAGAAUUGGGGUUGUCAUAAGCACUUUGCUAUUUUUCCCCAAUCCCCAAUAGAUAUAUGUGAAUAAAUUAAAUACAUAAGAUCAAUUUUGGGUUAAUG